rnacentral:pre_miRNA from 1 species
UCUUAUAAAUGAUCAAAGAAAGUGGUUUCUUGAUAUAUAAUCUACUUCCGGUGAAGAUCUUGUGAA